rnacentral:rRNA from 1 species
UUUAUGGAGAGUUUGAUCCUGGCUCAGGAUGAACGCUGGCGGCGUGCCUAAUACAUGCAAGUCGAGCGAACGGACGAGAAGCUUGCUUCUCUGAUGUUAGCGGCGGACGGGUGAGUAACACGUGGAUAACCUACCUAUAAGACUGGGAUAACUUCGGGAAACCGGAGCUAAUACCGGAUAAUAUUUUGAACCGCAUGGUUCAAAAGUGAAAGACGGUCUUGCUGUCACUUAUAGAUGGAUCCGCGCUGCAUUAGCUAGUUGGUAAGGUAACGGCUUACCAAGGCAACGAUGCAUAGCCGACCUGAGAGGGUGAUCGGCCACACUGGAACUGAGACACGGUCCAGACUCCUACGGGAGGCAGCAGUAGGGAAUCUUCCGCAAUGGGCGAAAGCCUGACGGAGCAACGCCGCGUGAGUGAUGAAGGUCUUCGGAUCGUAAAACUCUGUUAUUAGGGAAGAACAUAUGUGUAAGUAACUGUGCACAUCUUGACGGUACCUAAUCAGAAAGCCACGGCUAACUACGUGCCAGCAGCCGCGGUAAUACGUAGGUGGCAAGCGUUAUCCGGAAUUAUUGGGCGUAAAGCGCGCGUAGGCGGUUUUUUAAGUCUGAUGUGAAAGCCCACGGCUCAACCGUGGAGGGUCAUUGGAAACUGGAAAACUUGAGUGCAGAAGAGGAAAGUGGAAUUCCAUGUGUAGCGGUGAAAUGCGCAGAGAUAUGGAGGAACACCAGUGGCGAAGGCGACUUUCUGGUCUGUAACUGACGCUGAUGUGCGAAAGCGUGGGGAUCAAACAGGAUUAGAUACCCUGGUAGUCCACGCCGUAAACGAUGAGUGCUAAGUGUUAGGGGGUUUCCGCCCCUUAGUGCUGCAGCUAACGCAUUAAGCACUCCGCCUGGGGAGUACGACCGCAAGGUUGAAACUCAAAGGAAUUGACGGGGACCCGCACAAGCGGUGGAGCAUGUGGUUUAAUUCGAAGCAACGCGA